rnacentral:rRNA from 1 species
CCAGACUCCUACGGGAGGCAGCAGUGGGGAAUAUUGGACAAUGGGGGGAACCCUGAUCCAGCGACGCCGCGUGAGUGAAGAAGUAUUUCGGUAUGUAAAGCUCUAUCAGCAGGGAAGAAAGAAAUGACGGUACCUGACUAAGAAGCCCCGGCUAACUACGUGCCAGCAGCCGCGGUAAUACGUAGGGGGCAAGCGUUAUCCGGAUUUACUGGGUGUAAAGGGUGCGUAGGCGGCUGUGCAAGUCAGUAGUGAAAUCCAUGGGCUUAACCCAUGAACUGCUAUUGAAACUGCACAGCUUGAGUGAAGUAGAGGUAGGCGGAAUUCCUGGUGUAGCGGUGAAAUGCGUAGAUAUCAGGAGGAACACCGGCGGCGAAGGCGGCCUGCUGGACCGCGACUGACGUUGAGGCUCGAAAGCGUGGGGAGCGAACAGGAUUAGAUACCCGAGUA